GAGUUUACUGUGGCAGAUGAUCAAAACUGUCUGACACAAUUUGAGCUUGCGAUAGCAAGAAAGUUGAACCUCUUCCAAUGUUCUCUUCCAUGAGACAAGCCGUCAUAUAGACUUAAACAGC
ensembl:snoRNA